rnacentral:rRNA from 1 species
UACAGAGGGGGCAAGCGUUGUUCGGAAUUACUGGGCGUAAAGGGCGCGUAGGCGGCCUGUUAAGUCGGACGUGAAAUCCCUCGGCUCAACCGAGGAACUGCAUCCGAUACUGGCGGGCUUGAAUCCGGGAGAGGGAUGUGGAAUUCCAGGUGUAGCGGUGAAAUGCGUAGAUAUCUGGAGGAACACCGGUGGCGAAGGCGAGUCCCUGGACAAGACCUGACGCUGAGGCACGAAAGCUAGGGGAGCAAACAGG